CUUACAAGCCUGCCACACAAGGGCUUUCUCUGCGAUGAAGAAAAGAAGAGGAGAAAAUCCGGGUAAAAUUUCAAGUAUUGUUUUGCUUGAGGACUUCGACAUUAUGGCAAUCCGAGUCCUUUAAAUUUCUGAAGUAAUACCUGUAAUUUGACGGAUUUGAAGGCCACAUGUGAAUCCAAUCCGAUACUGGAUGAGAGUAGUGUUUGAUGAAAUCUCUCCAGCAGUAAACUUCAUCCCUGGCUUGAUUAAGGCUUGUUCCAUACCUCACAAGUUUGUGAACAUCUUCAGAAAAUAAACGCAUCUUUUCAGCACUAGGAAGGUUGAAGAACUGUGUUGAGACUUCUAGGGCUUCAUCCAUCACCGGUUGAUCAAUCCCAUGGUUAAUAACCUACAAAAGUGAAGCCUAAUAUUGAGCAGGUGCUAUAUAUACGUGAAAGCAUCCUAUCUCUUUGCAGGCAAUUCGAAUUUCAUUGAUGGUUGAUCUAGAAACAAGAGAUUGAUCACGCGAAGUAGACAAUCUAUGAUGGGAAGAGUGGUUGAUAUUGGAAGAUGAGGGCUGGGUCGUUGUGAUGGUGGAAGAACAUAACGUCGAGGUAUAGAAGACACUCCAAGCUUGUUAAGACUCACAGCACUGGUUGUUCACUUACAUUAUACAUGCUAGAAAGUACAAAAAAAUCUUUUUCGUUCGAAAAAGAGUGUGGAUUAAAUGGUAGUAAGCCCUAGGUUUGAGUGAUAAUGAGAGUUGAAGUCAGAAGGGAAGAAAAAAGAGAGCAAAGUGAUGAAGGAAUUUUUAUGGAGUUCGUGCUAGUGGGAAAUAAAAUAGGUGGCUUGGCUUA